rnacentral:tRNA from 1 species
UGGGGAAUAGUGUAAUGGUAGCACAAAUGACUCUGGAUCAUUUAGUUAAGGUUCGAAUCCUUAUUCCCCAG